CACGGUGAGACCCCCAUCAGUCUAUCUCUGCGUCUCUCUGGGCCUCCCUCGGUCCAUCUACAGCAUGAGGGGUGAGGCUAGGCCGUCUCAACCACUUCCAGCGCUCAUGGGGCACACUGACUGGUUUGUACCACUAUUCACCUUUUCUGCCUGACAUGCAGUAGAUACUAAAUAAUAGCCAUAAUAUUCACUGUGAUGAUAAAAAACUAACAUUUAUCACAUCAGACAGGAUACUAAAUGCUUUACAUAUAUUAUCACACUAGAUCAAUUUUUUUCUUUUUUUUUUUUUUUUGGAAUGGAUGGCUGAAGACAAAGGAGGGAUGGAUGCGGGGAGGGCAGAGUGCUCUCUAACCAAGUACCAGACUCGCCAAGGCAGAACCAGCGUGGAGCUUAACUUACCACGAGGGGCUCGGUAAAUAUGCAGAGGGAACACUAAGCAACUUACAGAAGGGAGAGACUUAGCAAGUCUCUUCUAUGGGAAUAGGGUACCCCCAUUCCCAGUGGCCUACCCACCCCUCUCCCUCCCGUGGGCUGUAGGAAAUUCUGAAAGGACUCAGCCUCGAACGAGAGAACGCCGACAGUAAGAGGAUUCUUGCCCUGAUGCUUACCUGAGCAUCUCUGAAUUUGUUCUCCAGCCCACUGGCCUGGCUGCCCUGGAGCAGAGGGACACGGGGACUCAGCUCAGACCAUAAACCAGUAGGAUUAACCCCCAUGUCAAUACCUGCUUGUUGUCAGGGAGCUGCUCGGUCGCCGGAGAGCCCUCUGAGAUGACGUAUUCCCUGCCACCUUGGCCUGCUCCCCUGGGCUGCCACGUCUCCCCUUCCCUUGUUUAUAUCGAGUAACCUGAGCUCCGCGGGCCUGACCGAGGCGUGUGAGUUCUGACACGGCCCAGAGAGGCCAGGAUGGCUGCUGUCGGCCUUGUUCUCAUUACUCUGCUGAGACGGGGCCUUGAUCACAUUACCCAUCAUUCAGGCUCCCCAGGGGAUCAGCCUCUGGUUCCGAGGGCACAAGGCAGAAGAGUAAAUCAAAGGGACAUCAAGUCCCGCACGUGGUGCCUGGCUCAUCAUUCCUGCUGAACCAGCAUCUGCCACUUCUCUGGAAAGAAGGCAGUGACGAGUGACAUCCUACCGAAACCAGGGGGUCCUCUCCCCAUCCGAU
rnacentral:lncRNA from 1 species